CAAAUUCCUAUUUGGCUAUGGCUAGGAUGCUAUAAGGAAUAUAUUUAUUACCAUCUUCCACCACACGUUAUCUUAUCUAAAUCAUGUACCAGUAGUUUAUUCUCAAAUGUAUAUGGCUAACUAUGAAUCCCUCUUCUUUGUUAAUCUGAGUGCUUUCUGUCUAAUAGGACUUGCUGAGACAGCACUUGAUGGAGAGACUUCUGACCAAACUGCAAUCUGCCAUAAACCAACUACCACUAAAUUUGGAUUAUUUGGAGUUUCUGACACGCCAUGGGCUUAUUCUGUUUGAAUCAUUCUCUGAGCAAACAUUACAGAAGCACUACAAAACCUGUAUGAUGUUAUUAAAAGGGAAAUUAAUGCCAGAUCUAUGCCCAUUGUUGAACAGGAAACAGAGGUUAGUCCAGGUUCUGGUCACCCCAAAAUUGUAAUAGAGAAAAAAAAACUAAAGAAAAUGCUGGACACACAUCUGCCAGUCUCCUGCAUUGCAAAAGUUUUUUCUGUUUCAAGGAGAACAAUUUACAUAAGAAUUCAAGAAUUUGGCUGUAAGAGGAUCAUACAGCACAGAGACUGACCAAGAGCUUGACAACAUGAUUUCAGCCAUUAAAAGUCAGAUGCCAAAUGCUGGUUAUCUAAUGGUUCAAGGCCAUUUGGUGUCAAUGGUCUCCGCAUUCAGUGGUGGAGAAUGAUGGCCUCUAUGCAUCGGGUUGAUGCUGCAGGGAUCUUCUUACGGCUCACAGAACUAGGUUGUGUUGUGCAAAAAAGUUAUUCUGUGCGAGGCCCUCUGUCCUUGGCCCACAUUGACACAAAUCACAAACUGAUCAGGUAGACUCAAAUAUAAUGUUGAUCCAAUUAUUUAGACAGAAUGUUGUGGUCUAGGAGGCAUGUCAUUCAAAUCCCAUACAAACAGCUUUUAGUCAAACUGUCACUUUUUUCCCCUCUUGAACAGAUACAACAUUGUCCUCUUUGGAGGAGUGGACGGCUACUCACGGAAGGUAUUUUUGCAAUGACACAAAACACAUUUGGAGAAGUGGCAGUUUACACUUUAUGUUCGCUACACGGGGAACAGGAAGAGCCAGCUUUAUCUCGGGAAAGAGUGUCCAAACUCAGAGAUAAGUUGUGUUUUCACUCUUGAUAUUUUUGACUGCAUAAAUACUUCUUGCAGUUUAAUUGUUUAAAUAAAGUACAAAUUGCUUUAUAAAUCCAAGUCAACCAAUUAAAAUGUCAUUCUAG
rnacentral:lncRNA from 1 species